UGUAACUUCAGUUCCAGGGAAUCUGAUGUCCUCUUCUGACCUCCAAGGGUACUGCAUGCAUGUGGCAAAACGUCCAUACACUUAAAAAUCUCAAAAACUUAUUUAAAAAAAAAAAAAAAAAAAGCUAGGCAUAUACCUCCGUGGUAAAGCACAAAGCCCAGGGUCAGUUUCCGUUUCUCCCCACCAACAAAAGCGGAGGGAGAGGGUUAUUCAUGUAAAUUGACUUAAGAGCUCUUAAAAAUGACUUCUUCUCAAAGUAUUAAUAUUUCUGCUGGGAUCAUGCUUUAGCUAAAAUGAGUAUAAGAUUGAUUUUGGUGGGGGAUGGGCAUGGGAGGAUUAGUUUUUAAGACAGGAUCUGUAGUUCACACUGGUCUUGAAAUCACAUGUAGCUGACAUUCUGAACUCCUAAUCCUACCCCUUUAACCUCUAAUGUGCUAGGAUUACAGGUAUGCCCCACUACACCUGGGUCAGUAAGGCAGUUUUGCUGGAUCAGAAAAUAUACUUUGAACAGAGAAAGAAACAGGCUGAGUCCAGGACAUACACCUGUAAUUCCAGCACUCAAUGUAAGAGUUAAGAUUAUCAGAAGCUGGAGGUCAGCUUUAGUUACAUAGUAAAUUGGUAGCAAAAGCUAGCCUGAGCUUUUGAGACCAAUCUCAGAAAAACUCAACCAUUUCUCCAGUCUCUCGUAAUUUUUUAAGUUUUAUCUAUUUAUUGGGGGGGGGGGGGAAGGGGAGAGAGAGAGAAGAGAGAAUGAGUGUGGGUACCUGAGUGCCAGUGCAGGAGCACUCAGGUCAGAAGAAAACUUUUAGGGGUUGUUCUGUCCCUUCCACCACAGGUUCUAGGGAUCAGGCUUUUGCAGCAAAUGCCUAUCUCAAUGGCCCUUCUAAAAAUUUUUAAAUUGAAAAAAGCAAAGUUGGGCGAAGGCAGGUGCAUCUGAAUUUGAGGCCAGCCUGGUCCACAAACUUGAGUUACAAGAUAGCCAGAGCGUCACACACAAACUGUCUCAAAAAAGCAAAAAUAAAUAAUGCUUUUUUUUUUUGGGGGGGGGGUGUCUGUAUAUGUAUACACACAGGCUGAAAUAAGAGGUCAAUACAGGUUAUUUAGCUAAAUUAGCUGGCCAUCCAGUCCUGGGAUCCUCUUGUCUCCCCUUUCUAUAUCUCCCAACUCUGGUGUUCACCUCAGCCCCCAGUUUUUCCAAGAGUCCUAGGGAUCUGACCUCUGGUCUUACGGCUGAGCAAUAAGCACUUUAAUUUUUGAGACAGGGUAGACUAGCUUCACUAUUUAGCUUUAGAGGACCUUCAUCUCCUGAUCAUCCUGCCUCCUCAGUGCUGCAAUUAUAUGCAUGUACCACUGCACCUAGUUCUAUGCAGUCCUGGGGAUCAAACCAAGGGCUUCAUGUGUAGUGUGCAAGUACCCUACCAACUGAGCUACAUCCCCAAUUUACCCCAGAGUGGCCACUUAACUUGCAAUAUGGCUAAGGCUGGCCUUGAACUCCUGAUUCUCCUGCUUCUAAUCUCCCAAGUGGUAGAAGUAAAGGCAUAAGCCUCUAAAACCAAUCCCGAGUUGUUUUUUUGGUUUUUUCUUCUUCCGUGAUACAGGGUUUCUCUGUGUAGCCCUGGCUGUCCUGAACUCGCUCUGUAGACCAGGCUGGCCUGGAACUCAGAGAUUCUCCUGCCUCUGCCUCUCCAGUGCUGGGAUGAAAUGUGUACACCACCACCACUUGGCCCAAGAAAAUUUUCUAAUCAAUCCUUUGAAGGUCUUUAGCUCCUAUAUAUUAAAACUGAAUGAUGAACAAACCUUGCUUAAGCUUUACUGUCACCUAUACAGAAAUGGUAGCAUGAACAUUCUGAUUACAUGUGAAAUUUUCCUCUUUUAGGUGAGGGUGUCAGAGAUCAAAUACAGAACCUUGUGUGUGCCUAAUGUACUUGCCCCUAAGUUAACCCCACCCCACCCCACACAUUCUACUUUUUAAAAGGUUUUUGUUUUACAUGAAUGGUUCUUUUGCAUGCAUGUGCCUAGUAUCUGUGGAGGCCAGAAGAGGGCACUGGAUCACCUAUAAAGGCAUUACAGACAAUUCUACCACAUGGGUGCUGGGAAUCAAACAAACCCCAAAUCGUCUGCAAGAGCAGCCAGUGCUCCUAACAGCUGAGCCAUCUCUCCAGCCCCUUUUACUCUUUUGAGAUAGGGUCUUGCUUGCUUUGUUAUCCAGGCUGUCCUCAAACUAUCACCCUUCACCAUCCUCUCUCAUGCUUUGAUUACAGAGUAUACCACUUCUGACUCCACAUAUCUGAUGCUUAACAAUUUUCUGACUUUUUGAGUAGAGGCCAGAAUGACAAUGUUUAAAAGUCCAUGCCCACACUCCAAUUAGCAAAUGAAGUACAAAAAGCUCGUGUUAAUUCUAACAUUUCACAGAAAGGUAAGACUAUCCUUGUUAUCACACUAAAGAAAUUAAGACAAAGCCACUGGGACUUCUUUGUGAUUGAUAUGCACACUACCAGGCAAAACAAUAAAGAUGUGUAGCUAUCAAGCCAGUCAUGGUGGUGCACACUGUUAGUCCCAGGACUCGGGAGGCAGAGGCAGGAGGAUCUCUCUAAGUUUGAGGCCAGCCUGGUCUAAAUACAAAGCUCCAGAACUGUCUCAAAAAGCAAAACAGAAAACAACAAAAAAAUGGGCAGGUAUUGACCUCACCAGAAUCAAGUGGUAUUCUGCGUUAGGUUUUGACAAACUUAACAUGAUAGUUUAAUGUAUCUUGAUCCUGAACACCCUCAAAUCAUUCGCAAAACAUGCAAGGAAAAAAACCUAUACAAAUAGUUCUCUAGAGUCAUGGCCAGAUAAAACUUGGCAAAACUUGUAUUGAAUUGUUCAGUCUGCAGCCACAUGUAAAUCUUAAGUAUUUAAACUACACCUAGUAGUACUCAGAAAUUCAAUUUUUAAAAAAUUUCCAUUUGUGCAUGCCUUUAAUCCCAGCACUCGGGAGGCAGAGCCAGGCGGAUCUCUCUGAGUUCGAAGCCAGCCUGGUCUAGAGUAAGAUCCAGGACAGGCACCAAAACUACACAGAGAAACCCUGCCUUGAAAAUUACAUUCUUUAUGUGUAUAUGUGUAUCUGUGUGACUAUAUGCCAUGUCUAGGCAGGUGCCCAUGAAUGCCAAAAGACAGCAUUGGAUACCCUGGAGCUGGAGUUACAGGUUGUGAGCCACCACGGGGGCAGGGAGGAGAUGUGAACCAAACUCAAGUCCUCUGGAAGGGCAGCAUGCUAAGCCAUCUUUCCAGCUCCAUGAAACUUUAUAUAAUCUAAGUGGCUAAUGACUACUACAACGUGAUAGUGAAAUUUAGAACUGCCAAGAAGUAAACAGAUGUUUUUUAUUUCUAAACUUCAGUUCUUCCAUGAGAAGCUGCAUACUGUAGGUACAAAAUUCCUUUCAUUCACCAAGAUGAAGUUUCUCAACACAGACUUCCCAAGUCACUCUAAAUGCUCCUGAACUUUAUCUGCUAUUUGAACUCCUGCGCUGUACCAGGAUAUGGUGGUGAUCAAUGUGUUCCUACUGAAGAAGUGAACCUUAAUUCAGUUGUGCUAAGCACUAUGAAAGGCCAAAUGUAUAAUGUACAAACAUCAGAAUACUAUAGAGAGAGGAUGGCUAUCCCAAAUGGAGGGAAAGGGAGACACACCCAUUAGCCAAAAAGGCAGCUCUGAGGAUUGAGCAAAGUUGUGGAGGAAACCAAAAGAGUAAGUGAUGGUAGCCACUCAUGCUGAGCCUUGUAGAAGACUGUGAAGGAAUUUUUUAGAAGACACAGACUUAUCAUAAGCUCAUUAAUUUCUCUUUAGAGAUCACUGAUGGAAAAGAAAAGAAAGAACAGAUCGUAGAUGAGGUCUAAAACAAUACCCUGUAGAUAGGAAAUGGUUCACAGAUAAAGAUUAUCAAGUGGCAGUCUGGAGGGAGGGCUUCAAUCUCUGAAAUCGAUCAAGCUGACUUUUCUAUUCAACAGUGGCUGAGCACCUGCGGUGGGCCAGGCCAUGUCUGAAUGAAAUAGUACAGAACACGGGAUGACAGAGUCACUUGGAGAUCUUAAAGAGACUACUGAGAUGAAUAUGAAAGGUCUGCCUGAGACAGCCUUUGACCUACUCCUUUCCUCUGACUUCCAGCCACACAGUGAAGACAGGCACAGAAGAAUGCAAUGUACUGCAAGGAGCUUUUCCCAAGGACAGAAAGAGGAAACUGAAGGACAAAAAACUGAAACACAAAUCAACAACUGGCAAAGGUCCUGAAAAGCCAGAGUCCUGCCCCCAUACACACAUCAGAAAGAGAAGUUCUCGUUCUUCAUAUAGCAAGGCCAACUGGGCAGCUGGCAGUGGCCCAAACUGGCCAGGAUGGAACUAUCAAGAUGGAGACAUGAACCAGGUGUAGCAGCACAUGCCUUUAAUUCCAGAACUUGGGAAGCAGGAGCAAGUGGAUAUCUGUGAGUAUGAACCCAUCCUGGUUUACAUAGUGAGUUCCAGGAC